rnacentral:rRNA from 1 species
GUGGGGAAUAUUGGACAAUGGGCGCAAGCCUGAUCCAGCGACGCCGCGUGGGUGAUGAAGGCCUUCGGGUUGUAAAGCCCUGUGGGGAGGGACGAAAAGCGCACGUUCGAAUAGGGCGUGCGGUUGACGGUACCUCCUUAGCAAGCACCGGCUAACUCUGUGCCAGCAGCCGCGGUAAGACAGAGGGUGCGAACGUUGCUCGGAAUUACUGGGCGUAAAGCGCGUGUAGGCGGGUAGGCAAGUCAGAUGUGAAAGCCCUGGGCUUAACCUAGGAACUGCAUUUGAAACUGCCUAUCUGGAGUAGUGGAGAGGGAAGCGGAAUUCCUGGUGUAGAAGUGAAAUUCGUAGAUAUCAGGAGGAACACCUGUGGCGAAGGCGGCUUCCUGGACACUGACUGACGCUGAGACGCGAAAGCGUGGGGAGCAAACAGGAUUAGAAACCCGGGUAGUCC